GAUCCUGGCUCAGAGUGAAUGCUAGCGGAGUGCCUAAGGUAUGCAAGUCGAGCGAUCAUGUUCCUUUUUGGUUCAUGGGAGCGGCGAACGAGUGAGUAACACGUAGUUACCUGCCCAACAGAUGGGAAUAACUCCGAGGAAUCGGAGCUAAUACCCAAUAGUGUGCUAAUGUUUUUACAUAAGUACUAAAGCUUUUGCGCUGUUGGAGGGGACUGCGUCCUAUCAGCUUGUUGGUGAGGUAAAGGCUCACCAAGGCUUUGACGGGUAGCCGGUGUGAGAGCAUGGUCGGCCACGAGGGCACUGAGACACGGGCCCUACUCCUACGGGAGGCAGCAAUUAGGAAUCUUGCGCAAUGGGCGAAAGCCUGACGCAGCGACUCCGCGUGGAGGAUUGAAGGUCUUCGGAUUGUAAACUCCUUUUAGGGUGGUAAUAAGACAUGAAGGUACCACCCAAAUAAGCACCUGCCAACUACGUGCCAGAAGCAUCGGUGAUACGUAGGGUGCAAGCAUUGCUCGGAUUUACUGGGCGUAAAGAGAGCGUAGGCGUUAUAGUCAGUCUUAUGUCAAAGAUCCCCGGUUCAACUGGGAGAAGGCAACGGAUUCUACUAUAAUUGAGGAAGAGAGAGGAAAGCGGAACAUUGGAGGUAGCGGUUAAAUGCGUUGAUCUCUAAUGGAACACCAGUGGCGAAGGCGGCUUUCUGGUUCUAUCCUGACGCUGAGGCUCGAAACCCUGGGUAGCGAAGCGGAUUAGAUACCCGUGUAGUCCAGGGCGUAAAUGAUUCCCGCUGGGUGUUUGUUCUAUAUCGUUUUAAUUCUUCGGAAUCAAGACGAUCGGAAUAAGUGCCGCAGCUAACGCGUUAAGCGGGACGCCUGGGGUGUACGAUCGCAAGAUUGAAACUCAAAGGAAUUGGCGGGGACCCGCACAAGCAGCGGAGCACGUGGUUUAAUCCGAGGGUAAUCGUAUAAACUUACCAAUCCUUGACAUGUAUCUGCAUUCUUUAAGAAAUUAAAGAAGUCCUUCGAGGGUGAUACACAGGCGCUGCAUGGCCGUCGUCAGCUCGUGCCGUGAGGUCUACGGUUAAGUCCGGUAACGAGCGCAACCCCUAUCCCAUGUUAUAUGUGUCUUGGGAAACUGCCGUGGUCAAACACGGAGGAAGGUGGGGACGACGUCUGGUCGGCAUGUCCCUUAUGGAUUGGGCUACACACGCGCUACAAUGGCCUGUACAAUGGGCAGCUACUUCGCAAGAAGAUGCUAAUCUCGUAAAACAGGUCUAAGUUCGGAUUGGGGGCUGGAACUCGCCCCCAUGAAGUCGGAGUUGCUAGUAAUCGCGGAUCACUUAAUGCCGCGGUGAAU
rnacentral:rRNA from 1 species